rnacentral:sRNA from 1 species
UGAUUCCAGUGCCGAAAGUCCGCCUCCACGACGUGCUUGCACGGGAGUGGAGGGAGGACUUUAUGGCACGCCCCUUUAUGAGCAGGAAGCGGGAGCAGCCCGCGGACUGCGAAUAAAGUGCAGCAUGGCGAAAGCCAUGCGGAAUCA